CACGUAGGGUGCGAGCGUUGUCCGGAAUUAUUGGGCGUAAAGAGCUCGUAGGCGGUGUGUCGCGUCGGCCGUGAAAACCUGCAGCUUAACUGUGGGCUUGCGGUCGAUACGGGCAUCACUGGAGUUCGGCAGGGGAGACUGGAAUUCCUGGUGUAGCGGUGAAAUGCGCAGAUAUCAGGAGGAACACCGGUGGCGGAAGGCGGGUCUCUGGGCCGAUAACUGACG
rnacentral:rRNA from 1 species